UGUGUGAUCACGUGACGAUGGAUCUGGGGCCGCCAGGAGCUUCAGGAGUUGGAGGAGGGGCUGCUUUUCCCUCGUCACACGGAGGAAUGCUGAUUCACUGCUGUGAGCAUAAUCCCUGGAGUGAAGCUGUCUGCUGUAAGGACACUAGGAGGGCUUCCACCAGCUCUACAUAGGCAGUCACCGUUUAGCUCUGUGAAUGCAGAGAAGAUGAAGAUCGUUGAAAGCCUCUUCUUCCUUGUGUACUAUUUGCCUGUUACAAAGCCUUGCGUGGAAUUUCCCUGGGACUUGCCAUUAUUGUAAGAAUGCUGAUAUUUUAUCUCACCAUGAUAAGAUCAGGUUACUCGUUCCAGUAACCUGGACAUGGGCUGCAUUACGUCAAAGUUCAUGUGCUUCUUCUUCCCCAGGGGAAAGAAGUUAGAGACAGUAUCAUCUACAUGGCUUCAGAAGCUGUACAGUAACGACCUGAGCCGCCUCUUGUUUCAACUCUUGCCCCAUGGGAGAAUUUGGUAAACUGCUAAUGGUGUACUCACAAAUCAGAUGAAAAGAAUCUGAUACAAGAUUUUUAAAAUGCCUAAUUCUACCUACUUUAAUGUUAAUAAUAUGAAAUGAAUAUAAUGCCAAUAUGC